rnacentral:lncRNA from 1 species
UCUAUCUUGUGUUUUUCUGGGAUAUCCCUUUGCCAAAAAGGGCUACAGGCUGUAUGACCUAACUACUAAGAAGUAUUUUGUGUCAAGAUAUGUUGUCUUUCAUGAAACCUGUUUUCCUUUUCAAUCUGCUUCUUCUGUUCCUUCCUGAUUCUGUUUUUCCUCCUCCUCCUGUUCCUUCCUCUGAUGUUCCCUGUUUUGAUUUUGUCCUGCCUACUUUCCCUUGUUCUUCUCCUCCUGCUUCUUCCCCUUCUGCUUCCAGCCCUGCUUCUUCAUCACUACCUUCCUCCCUUUCCUCUCCUUUUGUUCCUCUUCUUGUUGUUCCUCCUCCCCCUUUCACUCCUUCUUCUUCUGUUGUUCCUACUGGACACAGAAGAUCUGGCAUACCACAUAAUCCUCCUUCUUACCAUCACUACCUUCCUCUCCUUCUGUUCCUCUUCCUGUUGUUCCUCCUCCUCCUUUCACUCCUUCUUCUUUUGUUGUUCCUACUGGACACAGAAGAUCUGACAGACCACAUAAUCCUCCAUCUUAUCUCAAUGAUUAUGUUUGUCACUUGCCUUCCUUUUCUGGUUCCUCCUCCUCCUCUUCUCCUUUGGAGUCUGAACCCUUCUUUUAUUCUCAAGCUGCCUCUGUCCCAGCUGGGCAGGAUGCCAU